CCCACGGCUCACGCCGUGGGCUAUUCUCUCUCGCCCCUGCCGGGGCU
rnacentral:sRNA from 1 species